UACGUAGGGGGCUAGCGUUGUCCGGAAUUAUUGGGCGUAAAGAGCUCGUAGGCGGUCCGUCACGUCCGCUGUGAAAACCCAGGGCUCAACCCUGGGCUUGCAGUGGAUACGGGCAGACUAGAGGUAGGUAGGGGAGAAUGGAAUUCCCGGUGUAGCGGUGAAAUGCGCAGAUAUCGGGAGGAACACCGGUGGCGAAGGCGGUUCUCUGGGCCUUACCUGACGCUGAGGAGCGAAAGCGUGGGGAGCGAACAGG
rnacentral:rRNA from 1 species